CAGUAGCCGCGGGAAUACGUAGGGUCCGAGCGUUGUCCGGAAUUUUUGGGCGUAAAGGGCUCGUAGGCGGUUUGUUGCGUCGGGAGUGAAAACACCAGGCUUAACUUGGUGCUUGCUUUCGAUACGGGCAGACUUGAGGCAUGCAGGGGAGAACGGAAUUCCUGGUGUAGCGGUGAAAUGCGCAGAUAUCAGGAGGAACACCGGUUGCGAAGGCGGUUCUCUGGGCAUGUUCUGACGCUGAGGAGCGAAAGUGUGGGGAGCGAACAGGAUUAGAUACCCCAGUAGUCCCUGUCUCUUAUAC
rnacentral:rRNA from 1 species